GUAGUACUACCUCCGUCCGAAAAUACUUGUCAUCAAAAUAAAUAAAAGGAGAUGUAUCUAGAUGUAUUUUAGUUUUACAUAUAUCUUUUUUUGUCCAUUUUGAUGACAAGUAUUUCGGACGGAGGGAGUAGUAU
rnacentral:pre_miRNA from 1 species